UGCUGAGGCCUAGUGGUUUGAGCAUUGACUGUGACUCUGGAGACCAGGGUUCGAGUCCCAGCUUGGCCA
rnacentral:tRNA from 1 species